ACGAUUGUGAGGCUCCGGUUUUCCACAGGCUGUCAAUUUGUUUCACAGAAAUACUGGGAAAUAUGUUGGCGCAAACCCGGAAACCAUAUGCACAAAGAAACUCAACUCGAGCACGAACUCGGAGCAAUGGCGACGAACAUCGCGGCCGGCGAACCGGCCUAUAUCUUGGCAACCUUUAUUCACGGGUUUGACAGCACUCAAGCCGUACGUCCUCCUGCUUGGGCUCAACCUCCCGCUGUGCGUCCGCACCGGCAUCACCAAGCUUCCCAGCCGCGUCAGCGUCGGCUCCGAGGAUGUCCCGAUUUGGCCACCGGAGAGGAUUGGUUCGAUUGGUUCAAAGGAGUAGGACACAGAGCGUGGGCUCCGAACAUUCAGCAAAACAGGGACAUUGUGAAUUUACUAGAUUGCGACAAGUCUACACAGGGAAUAGGCCGAGUUUGGAAUGAGCAGCUUGCAGAGCUACUAUGGCCUGAGUUCUCAAAGAGGAGAUGGCAUGGAUUUAAGUACAUUAAUGUCCUUGUACGGCGGACGCCGAGACGAGCACGUGACACCAUUGCCACCCUGUCU